GUAGGUGGCAAGCGUUGUCCGGAAUUAUUGGGCGUAAAGCGCGCGCAGGCGGUUCUUUAAGUCUGAUGUGAAAGCCCACGGCUCAACCGUGGAGGGUCAUUGGAAACUGGAGAACUUGAGUACAGAAGAGGAAAGCGGAAUUCCACGUGUAGCGGUGAAAUGCGUAGAGAUGUGGAGGAACACCAGUGGCGAAGGCGGCUUUCUGGUCUGUAACUGACGCUGAGGCGCGAAAGCGUGGGGAGCAAACAGGAUUAGAUACCCUGGUAGUCCACGCCGUAAACGAUGAGUGCUAAGUGUUAGGGGGUUUCCGCCCCCCUUAGUGCUGCGGCUAACGCAUUAAGCGCUCCGCCUGGGGAGUACGGCCGCAAGGCUG
rnacentral:rRNA from 1 species